UGUCUACAACGCCCAUACCAUCCCAGUGUUAUGGUGGUGUGUUCUUUUUGGAGAUUGGAAAAGUUUGCCAAUUUUGGGACUCAGGGUCUUGGUGUUUACUGUUUGUCUGUCCGCCGGGGAUGUGGCGCCCUCGCUGUUUUACGAAGCCUGAGAGCACUUCAUCGACUUCCUUCUGUCUGGCUUCAAAACACCGUGAACGAAUGAUGUUGCACCGUAAACUAAUGAGGAUGAUUCGGAUGGUCUUCUUCUAGAGUAAAUAUUUCCCGAGGGGUUUGUUUUUACUUAGUUUUCGCGUCAACAUCAUGCAGAAAGUCGAGGUUCCAGGAGGCGACAACAUCAGAAAGUCGAGGUUCCAGGAGGCGACAACAUCAGAAAGUCGAGGUUCCAGGAGGCGACAACAUCAGAAAGUCGAGGUUCCAGGAGGCGACAACAUCAGAAAGUCGAGGUUCCAGGAGGCGACAACAUCAGACAGUCGAGGUUCCAGGAGGCGACAACAUCAGACAGUCGAGGUUCCAGGAGGCGACAACAUCAGACAGUCGAGGUUCCAGGAGGCGACAACAUCAGACAGUCGAGGUUCCAGGAGGCGACAACAUCAGACAGUCGAGGUUCCAGGAGGCGACAACAUCAGACAGUCGAGGUUCCAGGAGGCGACAACAUCAGACAGUCGAGGUUCCAGGAGGCGACAACAUCAGACAGUCGAGGUUCC